GUUACUGCUAUCGGAGUUCGAGUAAGCCAUGCGAGUCUAAAGGUUUCUUCGGAAACCUUGGCGGACUGCUCAGUAACACGUGGAUAACCUACCCUUAGGACUGGAAUAACCCCGGGAAACUGGGGAUAAUACCGGAUAGAUCAGGGAUGCUGGAAUGCACCUUGAUCCAAAGCCCCGGCGCCUAAGGAUGGGUCUGCGGCCUAUCAGGUUGUAGUGGGUGUAACGUACCUACUAGCCGACGACGGGUACGGGUUGUGAGAGCAAGAGCCCGGAGAUGGAUUCUGAGACACGAAUCCAGGCCCUACGGGGUGCAGCAGGCGCGGAACCUUUACAAUGUGCGAAAGCAUGAUAAGGGGACUCCGAGUGCCAGCAUCUAAUGCUGGCUGUCCUUGUGCCUAAAAAGCACAAGAUAGCAAGGGCCGGGUAAGACCGGUGCCAGCCGCCGCGGUAACACCGGCGGCCCGAGUGGUAGCCGCUAUUAUUGGGUCUAAAGGGUCCGUAGCCGGUUCGGUAAGUCCUUUGGGAAAUCUGGUUGCUUAACAAUCAGACUGCCAAGGGAUACUGCUGAACUUGAGACCGGGAGAGGUAAGAGGUACUUCAGGGGUAGGAGUGAAAUCUUGUGAUCCCUGGGGGACCAUCUGUGGCGAAGGCGUCUUACCAGAACGGGUCUGACGGUGAGGGACGAAAGCUGGGGGCGCAAACCGGAUUAGAUACCCGGGUAGUCCCAGCCGUAAACGAUGCUCGCUAUGUGUCAGGUACGGUGCGACCGUAUCUGGUGCCGUAGGGAAGCCGUGAAGCGAGCCACCUGGGAAGUACGGUCGCAAGACUGAAACUUAAAGGAAUUGGCGGGGGAGCACUACAACGGGUGGAGCCUGCGGUUUAAUUGGAGUCAACGCCGGA
rnacentral:rRNA from 1 species